rnacentral:rRNA from 1 species
AGAGAGAGACAUGCGCGCAUAUCAAUAAGCGGAGGAAAAGAAACUAACUAGGAUUCCCUCAGUAACGGCGAGUGAAGCGGGAAGAGCUCAAAUUUGAAAUCUUCAAGGUUCUACCUUGACGAAUUGUAGUUUAAAGAAGUGUUUUCUGUUGGAGUUUUGGUAAAAGUUCUUUGGAAUAGGACAUCAUAGAGGGUGAGAAUCCCGUAUUUGACCAUUAUUUCCAGCUUUGUGAUACACUUUCAAAGAGUCGGAUUGUUUGGGAAUGCAGUCCAAAAUGGGUGGUAAAUUUCAUCUAAAGCUAAAUACUGGCGAGAGACCGAUAGCGAACAAGUACCGUGAGGGAAAGAUGAAAAGAACUUUGAAAAGAGAGUUAAACAGUACGUGAAAUUGUCAAAAGGGAAGCGUUUGACACCAGUGUUGUUUUCCUCGAAAAUCAAUUAAAAAAGGCAGGAUUUUGUGUUGUAUUGACUUUAUCAGCUUUCUGCACUCUUUUUCUUGUCUUUUUUAAUGCACUUUUCGUUUAACAAGUCAACAUCAAUUUCUUUUGUUGUAAAAGGGUCAUUGGAAGGUGGCUUUCUUUUCGGAGAAAGUGUUUAUAGCCUUUGGCCUCUGCAAUCGGAGAGAUUGAGGUCUGCAGCGUAGAUCCUUCGGGGUUAGAUACAUUUGUGCUAAGUUAUAGCCUUUCAUAGACAACUUGUUGACUAUGAUCAGUCAUGUAGCUUACUCGCUUAUGCUAUUUUACCUACGCUUAGGAUGUUGAUGUGAUACUGCGAGCA